UACGUAGGGGGCUAGCGUUGUCCGGAAUCAUUGGGCGUAAAGGGCGCGUAGGCGGCUAGAUAAGUCCGGUGUGAAAGUCACAGGCUCAACCUGUGAAUGCCGCUGGAAACUGUCUGGCUAGAGUCCGGAAGGGGCGAGUGGAAUUCCUGGUGUAGCGGUGAAAUGCGCAGAUAUCAGGAGGAACACCAAUGGCGAAGGCAGCUCGCUGGGACGGUACUGACGCUGAGGCGCGAAAGCGUGGGGAGCAAACAGG
rnacentral:rRNA from 1 species